CCGCUGACGAGCGGCGGACGGGUGAGUAAUGCUUAGGAAUCUGCCCAGUAGUGGGGGAUAGCCCGGGGAAACCCGGAUUAAUACCGCAUACGUCCUACGGGAGAAAGCAGGGGAUCUUCGGACCUUGCGCUAUUGGAUGAGCCUAAGUCGGAUUAGCUAGUUGGUGGGGUAAAGGCUCACCAAGGCGACGAUCCGUAGCUGGUCUGAGAGGAUGAUCAGCCACAUCGGGACUGAGACACGGCCCGAACUCCUACGGGAGGCAGCAGUGGGGAAUAUUGGACAAUGGGGGCAACCCUGAUCCAGCCAUGCCGCGUGUGUGAAGAAGGCUUUCGGGUUGUAAAGCACUUUCAGUAAGGAGGAAGGCCUUGUCGCUAAUAUCGGCAAGGAUUGACGUUACUUACAGAAGAAGCACCGGCUAACUCCGUGCCAGCAGCCGCGGUAAUACGGAGGGUGCAAGCGUUAAUCGGAAUUACUGGGCGUAAAGCGCGCGUAGGUGGUUUGAUAAGCGAGAUGUGAAAGCCCCGGGCUUAACCUGGGAACGGCAUUUCGAACUGUCAGGCUAGAGUGUGGUAGAGGGUAGUGGAAUUUCCUGUGUAGCGG
rnacentral:rRNA from 1 species